rnacentral:rRNA from 1 species
UACAGAGGUCUCAAGCGUUGUUCGGAUUCAUUGGGCGUAAAGGGUGCGUAGGUGGCGCCGUAAGUCGGGUGUGAAAUUUCGGAGCUUAACUCCGAAACUGCAUUCGAUACUGCGGUGCUUGAGGACUGGAGAGGAGACUGGAAUUUAUGGUGUAGCAGUGAAAUGCGUAGAGAUCAUAAGGAAGACCAGUGGCGAAGGCGGGUCUCUGGACAGUUCCUGACACUGAGGCACGAAGGCCAGGGGAGCAAACGGG